GAGCAUCAUCAACAGGUUACCACUGUAUCCGUACCAUAAACCUCUGUACCUUGAUAAAAGUUCGAAGACCUUCACCAUACAAGAUGAACAAACUGGUGCUAGUUUUCAUGAUGACCCUGCUUCUUGCAAUUGCAGUAACUGGAAACCCUGCUGCCGAUGAGCUUACAAAGCGUGACUAUAGCUUUGAGAAAGAGAGCGGGGAGUGUGGAGUGGCUGGCUUCGCUAAGUGUCUCCUAAAAUUCCCCCGUAGGUUCUGUUGUGAAAUAUGCGAGGAUGCAUGUGACGAUAAAAAGUAGAGAACUAUUUUCAACAUGAUGGCGCUAUGCUAUCACAUUUAAACAUUUCCGCUAUACAGAUGCUGAAGUGUUGAAAUCAUUAGUUGAUAAUAAAGGAAUACCUCGCAUUGAAA